GCACCCGUAGCUCAGCUGGAUAGAGCGCUGCCCUCCGAAGGCAGAGGUCAGAGGUUCAAAUCCUCUCGGGUGCGCCA
rnacentral:tRNA from 6 species